rnacentral:rRNA from 1 species
GAUGAACGCUGGCGGCGUGCCUAAUACAUGCAAGUCGAGCGAACAGAUAAGGAGCUUGCUCCUUUGACGUUAGCGGCGGACGGGUGAGUUACACGUGGAUAACCUACCUAUAAGACUGGGAUAACUUCGGGAAACCGGAGCUAAUACCUGAUAACAUAUUGAACCGCAUGGUUCAAUAGUGAAAGGCGGCUUUGCUGUCACUUAUAGAUGGAUCCGCGCCGUAUUAGCUAGUUGGUAAGGUAACGGCUUACCAAGGCAACGAUACGUAGCCGACCUGAGAGGGUGAUCGGCCACACUGGAACUGAGACACGGUCCAGACUCCUACGGGAGGCAGCAGUAGGGAAUCUUCCGCAAUGGGCGAAAGCCUGACGGAGCAACGCCGCGUGAGUGAUGAAGGUCUUCGGAUCGUAAAACUCUGUUAUCAGGGAAGAACAAAUGUGUAAGUAACUGUGCACAUCUUGACGGUACCUGAUCAGAAAGCCACGGCUAACUACGUG